rnacentral:lncRNA from 1 species
UAAAAUUGAACCAAAUCAAACAAAAUUAACGCGGGUUGAGAUGGUUUGAUUGAUUCAUUUUUUUUACAAGAUUUUUAUUGAGUCUAUAUACCCAGAGAACAACAUAAUUUUGUAUUUAGUCAUUCAGACAUUACCAAAUAACAACAAAACUCAUCAUACUUAGACAAAAACUUCUCAUUCAAUAUAUAAAAAUUAGAUUAAACAAAAAUAGAAUAAAAAAACAUAAAAUAGUAC